CGGGGUGGAGUAAUGUCUGGGAAACUGCCUGAUGGAGGGGGGUAACUACUGGAAACGGUAGCUAAUACCGCAUAACGUCUUCGGACCAAAGUGGGGGGACUUCGGGCCUCACGCCAUCGGAUGUGCCCAGAUGGGAUUAGCUAGUAGGUGGGGUAAUGGCUCACCUAGGCGACGAUCCCUAGCUGGUCUGAGAGGAUGACCAGCCACACUGGAACUGAGACACGGUCCAG
rnacentral:rRNA from 1 species